AAAACAUAAGGUGAAGGGUGCAAAUUAAUUCUACCAAAUGAUGCAACAAAAGAGAAGUAGAUGGGGGUGGGGGUAAUAGUAUCAUAGCCAAAAAUGCUGAUGUCAUCUAUAACUGCAGGUACAAGAAGCACUAGGCACACAAUUAUAUGGUGUUUGGUUUGAGAAAUAAGGAACGUACAGAACCAAUUCCUUGAACACACAAAUGAUUGACACUAUGAAAGACCCUGCCAGGAAACAUAUGAAGCUUAGCAAAACAUUCAUUUUUUUACAAUACUUGCGUGUAUGCUGGUCCAUAUGUCACCCACAAUACAUAGUACUAACUGUUAGAGUAUAUUUGGUGGUUCGGAUUAGGAUUUGUUGCCAGUAUUGGCACAUUUACUGUAUCGGGCCGGGUGGCAACUUAUCUCCCAAGUUCAAAUUAUACCAAAUCUACUGCAGUUUCAUGAUAUCACGAGUUCUGAUUUUGUUCUUAGACCCUAAUGAUACCGUCGGGUUUCGGGUCGGGUUUCGGGUUUGCGGGUUAAAUUACCAUCCCUACCUAGACCUCAUUGUCAACGUCUCUAAUGGAUGAUGUGGAUAGCACUCGUUGAUACAUUCAAGCAGCCCUGACCAAGUGGCUCAUUGUCCUACACCUAAUGCAGUCAUCAGCAGGAAGUUGGUGAUUAUGUGUACUCUGACGCUUAGACUUGCACUUUCCUCCACAGCUUCAACCAUGUCCACCUCAACCUCAGCUAUUUUGAUGAGGAUAUCAUUUACAUGAGCUACUCAUCAAUUUCUACUCUAGUCGUGAUAUCUGCGGGGAUGUUAGUCUUCAGCUUCCUUCUUUUUUUAUAAUGAAAACAAAAAAGUUCCAGCCUUUUACAGUCUCUUGCAUACAACUUUGCAGAUCGGAAAAUAACAAACAUCCACCAUAACAACAAAAAGGAAACAUCCUAAGAGAGUACACAUGGAAAUCUUUGCGAGCCCCUUCCUUCUUUUCCAGUCCGAUCGGUUAAGAUGCUCCCGCUACAACUAUGGGAGGGAUGUUAGUUAGGAUUUAUUAUCUCUUCUGCUAUCAUGGAGAUAUGGACCUACCACCGUGAUGAUCUCAUGUGCCCUGGUUGGGGACAUGCAUAUCAGCAUAUGUGGUCCAGUGAUCAGUGACAAGAAGCCAAGCCCCUGACAGUUGACCAGGGCAACUGUUAGGCCAGUGCAGUGAAGUGAGGCAGGAUGGCACAUGAAUGGAAACCAUUGCUCAUCGAUCUCAGUCCUUGCACAGUUGCUAGAAGAGCAUAAGGCCAACAGAAACCUCACUUCAGAGUUCAGAUAACAAAGUUGUCAUCCAAUGAUUACAACACAUGAGGUGAAAGGUCUAGUCUAAUCAGAAAAAAGCAAUCGACUUUUUCCUCGUGGAAAGCAGAGGCAAUCACCACCGCAAUCCAUGCGCUGCGCAGUACAGUGACCAAUUAGCCAGAAAGCAAUCAGCAAUAAGCAGGGACCAUAUGAUGCCCAUGCUCGUGCACGGACAGGUGAGACGGCCACAGGAAGUCAGGAGCACGCGGAAACGGGAGGACAGAUGAACGGGGGAAGAAACCAUGAGCAAAAGAGGAAGCGGGGACAUACAUGCCGUGCUGAGGUGGCCCAAAGCUCGUCAUCGCCCCGCUCGCAUCUUCUGCCACCGACCCUCCUCGUCUACUCUCCAUCGGC